rnacentral:rRNA from 1 species
UUCCGGUUGAUCCUGCCGGACCCGACUGCUAUUUGGGUGAGGAUAAGCCAUGCGAGUUGAAUGGGAAACCUAAAAAUCCCAUGGCAAACUGCUCAGUAACACAUGAUCAACUUACCCUAUAGAGGAAAAUAACCUCGGGAAACUGAGGAUAAUGUUCCAUAGUUGAAUUGGCUUGGAAAAGUUUUUCAAUAAAAGGGAUAAGGAAAAUGGUUCUUAUCUGCUAUAGGAUAGGAUCGUGCUCGAUUAUGGUUGUUGGUGAGGUAAAGGCUCACCAAGCCGAUAAUCGAUAGGGGCCGUGAGAGCGGGAGCCCCGAGAUGGGUACUGAGACAACGACCCAGGCCUUACGAGGCGCAGCAGGCGCGAAACCUCCGCAAUACACGAAAGUGUGACGGGGUUACCCAAAGUGUUCUAUUUAGAACUGUGGUAGGUGAGUAAUGUUCCCUACUAGAAAGGAGAGGGCAAGGCUGGUGCCAGCCGCCGCGGUAAAACCAGUUCUUCAAGUGGUCGGGAUAAUUAUUGGGCUUAAAGUGUCCGUAGCCGGUUUAGUAAGUUCCUGGUAAAAUCGGGUAGCUUAACUAUCUAUAUGCUAGGAAUACUGCUAUACUAGAGGGCGGGAGAGGUCUGAGGUACUACAGGGGUAGGGGUGAAAUCUUAUAAUCCUUGUAGGACCACCAGUGGCGAAGGCGUCAGACUGGAACGCGCCUGACGGUGAGGGACGAAAGCCAGGGGAGCGAACCGGAUUAGAUACCCGGGUAGUCCUGGCCGUAAACGAUGCAUACUAGGUGAUGGCACGGCCAUGAGCCGUGUCAGUGCCGUAGGGAAACCGUUAAGUGUGCCGCCUGGGAAGUACGGUCGCAAGGCUAAAACUUAAAGGAAUUGGCGGGGGAGCACCACAAGGGGUGAAGCCUGCGGUUCAAUUGGAUUCAACGCCGGA